CAAAGAUUUUUGGUAUAGCGAUUUCUCACUUCGACUUCGUCUGAAUUUUGAAAAAGGAAACCUCGGCUGCCUUACGAUUGAGACAGACUCCUGUUAAUCUGAAUAAGGCCAUUUUUCUCGUUUUUAUCGUUAUUCAGCCAUCUCAUCUGCUAUUGCCUGGAUACUUGGUGUCGAGAAAAUCCACAUAAAAAUGUACGGAUUUUUAUAAGAUUUACUAUGCAAAAAUCGACAAACACCAAGUUAAUGCCAAUGAGCAAUGGCGGCCGACUUCCGUAAUUAUCUGCUGGUGUUAUUCUAAUUGCAUCAAGGAUAAAGGUGGAUCACGAGAUGCAUUGCGCUUGUACGGGGCGGUUACAAAUGAUUGUUGGUUCUUUCAUUACAAGUGUAUAUACUGCCAGCUGCUCUCCGAGGAACCUGACCAGAUAAGUUACAUAAGGAUCUGUUCCUGAAAUACCAAGUUUCAAGCUUCAACUUGUUUGCUCUUCCCGAGCAAUUCGGAAAGUUUCUUCAGAAAAUCCAGUCCAGAAGAUCCCAAAGGAAUCGAAUU